UCGACAACCCAAUGACUAAUAUAAUUUUUAACAGUAGAAAAAAUGUGUUGUAGAGACAUCUUUGUUAUAAAGGGUCAGAUGAACAAUUUACGAGAAUAAGUUGCAUAUAUCUAGUGAAUACUUUGUAUUCAGGAGCAAGGAAAUCAAUCAUUCAAAUUAAACCAUGCUUCAUGUCUCUUAUGGCACACCACUAUGUGUUCAAUUAAUUGUUGUACCAAUUGGGAUGUUUUCUCAUGAACACACUCUUCCACCAAAAUUCUCUAUGAGUACUCCACCUUCAUCAAGAUUGAAAACAUUUGAUACUAAAAUAGAAAAACAACACAAAAACUCUAAUGUAAAACAAGUCAAUCGAUCUCAACAAACAUUAAAAGGAAAAUAAAAGAACCAAUAUGUAUUAUCCAACAGUUUAUAUGUAUUUCUAGAUAUUUUAUAAACUUUUCUUUACAGUUUAACUAACAUAUAAAAAAUUGUUGAGAAAGACAACUACUAAUUAUAGACAAUGACAGCUGGAUUGUCAAGGCAGAAAAUUCAAAGUUACACUAUAGAGAACCAAAUUCAACUUCCGCUCUAUGGAGUUUCAAUAACCUCACACUCCAAUCCAUUCUACAUGUUAAUGCGAUCCAGAAAUAUUUCAACCUUUAAAGACAUUAUGUUACCUGAUUCACACAUUUAUACCUCCCUCUAUUAAUUAUGGACACAAAAAUCUAUAAAUCUUUGGGAAACAUGGUACAAUGCCAAAUAUAACUUGCAUCUACUGACUACUGGUAGUCUGAUACAUAUGCUCACCAAAAUAAUUUUCAACAAAUAAGUUACCCAAAAUAAGUUUUUCAUCUUCUACAUAGAAAUACAUUAACUCAAAACAUUAAAAGAACAAAAAUAUUCUCUUUAUCUUGUACAAUAAAAAUGUACAAAUGAGUAUUUAAAAAAAAAAAAAGCAAAAAAAAAAAAAUUCAAACUUAAAUUCAGAGGAACCCAACAACAUUGAAUUGCCAAAAUAGUACUUUAGAUAGGCACUCAUUUUUAUUGCAGAGAGUGAAAAUAACUCACAACAAUGGCUUGAGGAAUGACAUGCGACGACCGCAUCUUCACAGAGGAAAAGAAAGUUCAGUUGCCGUUGAUUUUCAGGGAGAUAUAGGGAAAUUGUGCUUUCAAGAGAUGCCCUAACAAAGUAAUUACGGUUACCGUGGAGAUAUCCAGCACAAUUUGCAAGUUCCCCAUUUGUGAAGGAGUUUACAGAUUUCUUCAGUGCUUCAAGUGCCAGCUAGCAAUUGCGUCAUUAGGGCAAGAAAUAUUCCAUGAAUUGUACCAAUUGCUACAUGGGAAAAACUAGGAAACAGACUAACCAUAGUAACAACAUUAAUCCUUAAAAUAAUGAAAAACUAGAAACGAGAAGGCUGAUAGGAGAGAGACUAUAUUCAGUCUAAUUAAACGUACUCUGUAAUAAAUCAGGUAACCACACGAGGCCACCCCGCCCCCCCAACCACUAAAAAGAAAAAAACACUUAUAG
rnacentral:lncRNA from 1 species